rnacentral:rRNA from 1 species
GUGGGGAAUAUUGCACAAUGGGCGAAAGCCUGAUGCAGCAACGCCGCGUGAGGGACGACGGCCUUCGGGUUGUAAACCUCUUUUAGUAGGGAAGAAGCGAAAGUGACGGUACCUGCAGAAAAAGCACCGGCUAACUACGUGCCAGCAGCCGCGGUAAUACGUAGGGUGCAAGCGUUAUCCGGAAUUAUUGGGCGUAAAGAGCUCGUAGGCGGUCUGUCGCGUCUGCUGUGAAAACUGGAGGCUCAACCUCCAGCCUGCAGUGGGUACGGGCAGACUAGAGUGCGGUAGGGGAGAUUGGAAUUCCUGGUGUAGCGGUGGAAUGCGCAGAUAUCAGGAGGAACACCGAUGGCGAAGGCAGAUCUCUGGGCCGUAACUGACGCUGAGGAGCGAAAGCGUGGGGAGCGAACAGGAUUAGAUACCCCGGUAGUCC